rnacentral:rRNA from 1 species
CCUACGGGUGGCUGCAGUGGGGAAUAUUGGACAAUGGGCGAAAGGCUGAUCCAGCCAUGCCGCGUGUGUGAAGAAGGCCUUCGGGUUGUAAAGCACUUUCAGUGGGGAAGAAAGCCUUGGGGCUAAUACCCUCGAGGAAGGACAUCACCCACAGAAGAAGCACCGGCUAACUCCGUGCCAGCAGCCGCGGUAAUACGGAGGGUGCGAGCGUUAAUCGGAAUUACUGGGCGUAAAGCGCGCGUAGGCGGUCUGAUAAGCCGGUUGUGAAAGCCCCGGGCUCAACCUGGGAACGGCAUCCGGAACUGUCAGGCUAGAGUGCAGGAGAGGAAGGUAGAAUUCCCGGUGUAGCGGUGAAAUGCGUAGAGAUCGGGAGGAAUACCAGUGGCGAAGGCGGCCUUCUGGACUGACACUGACGCUGAGGUGCGAAAGCGUGGGUAGCAAACAGGAUUAGAUACCCGAGUAGUC